UGGGGAAUUGUUCGCAAUGGGCGCAAGCCUGACGACGCAACGCCGCGUGGAGGACGAAGAUCUUCGGGUCGUAAACUCCUUUCGAUCGGGAAGAACGUCUGCGGGGUGAAUAAUCCCGCAGAGUGACGGUACCGAGAGAAGAAGCCCCGGCUAACUCUGUGCCAGUAGCCGCGGUAAUACAGGGGGGGCAAGCGUUGUUCGGAAUUACUGGGCGUAAAGGGCUCGUAGGCGGCCAACUAAGUCACACGUGAAAUCCCCAGGCUUAACCUGGGAACUGCGUGUGAUACUGGAUGGCUUGAAUUCGGGAGAGGGAUGCAGAAUUCCAGGUGUAGCGGUGAAAUGCGUAGAUAUCUGGAGGAAUACCGGUGGCGAAGGCGGCAUCCUGGACCGACAUUGACGCUGAGGAGCGAAAGCUAGGGGAGCAAACGGGAUUAGAUACCCCGGUAGUCCUAGCCCUAAACGAUGAAUGCUUGGUGUGGCGGGUAUCGAUCCCUGCCGUGCCGAAG
rnacentral:rRNA from 1 species